CAAUACUUACAAUGCUUGCAUCAAACAGGGAAUCCUUAAACAGAUCUAGAAAUUUAAAAAAGAAAAAAAAAAUCAAGUUGUAGUUUUCUUUCUUCUUUUUUUCCCCCCUUGGUGGUACUUGAGGACAGAACCCAGGGCCUCACACAUGCUAGGCAAGUACUCAACCACUGAGCUGUAUCCCCAGCCCUCAAGCCAUACUUUUCUCAAAACAAAAUUGUUUGCCUUAUCUUUGGGUUGAUAAGAUACUUUUAUUAAAUGAUAUAGACUCCCCAAUGAUUUUUAGAAUAUUGACAAAUAGUGGAUAACUGCUAUAAAUCAACAUAGAGCUUAUUUUCCUUUAGUAAAGCUGGAGGAAUAUUUGUUGCCCCACAGGUCCAUCUCUGCCCAGGCAAGUUCCAGUAAAUUCCCAAUGGAGUAGCUGCACCCUCACUUGGGCCUCUUGUCCUCCUAAGCCAUCCUAGAUGUUUUUUUUUUCUUUCUUUCUUUCUAUUUUUGAUUUAAUCGUAGCUGGACACAAUACCUUUAUUUUAUUUUUUGUAUGUGGUGCUGAGGAUAGAUCCCAGCACCCUGCAUGUGCAAGGUGAGCGCUCUACUACUGAGUCACAUCCCCAGCCCACCGUCCCAGUUCUUAAAUAGUAAAAGCCAACAGCAUGGCAACUUCUAUGGCAACUAGCUCCAAGUAUAACUACCCGAACCAAGCCCACGAGAGUCCAGGUAACACUGGAAAAGUACAAGUGCUUAUUUUUAAGUAUGUUACUUUUUCUCAGAUUUAAUCAAAAAGCUUUUGAUAAAGUUUGGGUUUAAACCAUUUGUAAUUCAUCUCUGAUGGGUUUGGCAAAGUUUCUUCCCCCUAUCUCUAGUAUUUUCACGUGGACAUGACACUAUUUAAAGUAAAGCUGUUUCUAAGCACACAAAUCAACAAGUAUAAGAUUAACUAUGACAACUUUGACUGAUAAAGAGCUUAGAAUGUACUGACAACGUGCCUUUGAAAGAAACUAGAUGUUGAAGUCAUCACACUAUAAAAGCAAACACAUUUUAGUGUAUAAAUUUGCAGAUUUUGUUUGUACCUUGGUUUUCUAUCUUAGGCUUAACAAAGAGUUAAGUACAGACUUUAGUAGACAGAUGGAUGUACCGAGUAUCUUGUUUUAAUUAGUAUUCUCUAAUUAUAGUGAGACUGAGCAUAUUUUGUGAUUUUUCUUGGUAAUUUUGUCUUCCUUUUCUGCUUAUAUUUUUGCCCAUUAAAUUUGUUUUUGCUUAUUAAUUUUCC
rnacentral:lncRNA from 1 species